GAUGAACGCUGGCGGCGUGCCUAAUACAUGCAAGUCGAGCGAACGGACGAUAAGCUUGCUUCUCUGACGUUAGCGGCGCACGGGUGAGUAACACGUGGAUAACCUACCUAUAAUUCUGGUAUCACUUCGGGAAACCGUAGCUAAUACCGUAUAAUAUUUUGCACCGCGUGGUUCAAAAGUGAAAGACGGUCUUGCGGGCGCUUGGGGAUGGAUUUGCGCUGUAUUAUCUAGUUGGUGGGGUAGCGGCUUACCAAGGCAAUGACGGGUAGCCGGCCUGAGAGGGGGACCGGCCACAUUGGGACUGAGAUACGGCCCAGACUCCUACGGGAGGCAGCAGUGGGGAAUAUUGCACAAUGGGCGGAAGCCUGAUGCAGCAACGCCGCGUGCGGGAUGACGGCCUUCGGGUUGUAAACCGCUUUCGCCUGUGACGAAGCGUGAGUGACGGUAAUGGGUAAAGAAGCACCGGCUAACUACGUG
rnacentral:rRNA from 1 species